UCCUGAGACCGGCGCACGGGUGCGUAACACGUAUGCAACUUACCCUUUACUGGGGCAUAGCUCAGAGAAAUCUGAAUUAAUUCCCCAUAACGCUAUUGAGUCGCAUGACUCGAUAGCUAAAGUUCCGGCGGUAAAGGAUAGGCAUGCGCUGUAUUAGCUAGUUGGUGAGGUAAUGGCUCACCAAGGCUACGAUACAUAGGGGUUCUGAGAGGAUGAUCCCCCACACUGGUACUGAGACACGGACCAGACUCCUACGGGAGGCAGCAGUAGGGAAUAUUGGUCAAUGGACGCAAGUCUGAACCAGCCAUGCCGCGUGCAGGAUGACGGCCCUCUGGGUUGUAAACUGCUUUUAUAUGGGAAGAAACCCCGGGAUGCGUUCCGGGCUGACGGUACCAUACGAAUAAGGAUCGGCUAACUUCGUGCCAGCAGCCGCGGUAAGACGAAGGAUCCAAGCGUUGUCCGGAUUUACUGGGUUUAAAGGGUGCGUAGGCGGAUGCUUAAGCCAGUGGUGAAAUCUCUCAGCUCAACUGAGAA
rnacentral:rRNA from 1 species